GUCUACGGCCAUACCACCCUGAACGCGCCCGAUCUCGUCUGAUCUCGGAAGCUAAGCAGGGUCGGGCCUGGUUAGUACUUGGAUGGGAGACUGGAGUACAGAAUAUACCUCAUGGCAUGUCCCGUUUGCUGUCCCCA
ensembl:rRNA 5S_rRNA 5S ribosomal RNA